GAUGAACGCUGGCGGCGUGCCUAAUACAUGCAAGUCGAACGAAGAUCUAGCUUGCUAGAUCUUAGUGGCGAACGGGUGAGUAAUACAUAAAUAAUCUGCCCAUAUGACUGGGAUAACUAUUGGAAACGAUAGCUAAUACCGGAUAGGUUGAUUGGAGGCAUCUCUGAUUAAUUAAAGUAGGAUUUCUACACAAAUGGAUGAGUUUAUGGCGCAUUAGUUAGUUGGUGGGGUAACGGCCUACCAAGACGAUGAUGCGUAGCCGACCUGAGAGGGUGACCGGCCACACUGGGACUGAGACACGGCCCAGACUCCUACGGGAGGCAGCAGUAGGGAAUUUUCGGCAAUGGGCGCAAGCCUGACCGAGCAACGCCGCGUGAGUGAUUAAGGCCUUCGGGUUGUAAAGCUCUGUUGUAAGGGAAGAACAUUCAGGAUAGGAAAUGAUCUUGAACUGACGGUACCUUACCAGAAAGCCACGGCUAACUACGUGCCAGCAGCAGCCGCGG
rnacentral:rRNA from 1 species